UUACACUGUCAGAUUCCCAAAGAGCUGCCAUUUCUACCCCAUGAGAAGCAAAUGAAAAGUGGAGACUACUGCAUUACAACACUGACAAGCAACAAGAAUGUACCAUCUUUUGGAGUAUGAUCUAUGAUACCAUAUGAAACGGUGUCCAACAUGCAUCAGUGCUUCCAAAUGUACAGUGAUGAACAAAGCUGAAUUUUACUUGGCCUCAGAAAUUUAAAAGAGAUAAGCUAUGAAAACACAGACCAUCCUGAAAGAUGCUACAGGAACUCUUCAAGGAGCAGCAGAAGGAGCCC
rnacentral:lncRNA from 1 species